GGAAGGAAUCCCAAGGAGGUAUAAAUGGAAACAAAGAUGCUGACAAAAGAAAGGCCUGUCAAGGACCCCAGAAGAGUCAUGGCUGUGACACAUCUACGUGGACCAAACUCUGUGGAUAUAUCUGCAUCAGUCAUGAGCAGACACAAUUCUUCAUUCCUCAUGUGAUCCCACAUUGCUUCCUCCAGAGAUCUGCAAACCAGGUAGAUUAUUGGUUCCCAACUCUUAUGCUUGUAAAGUGUGGAUAAAUAGAAAAAAAAAAAAAUUAAUCUUUUCAUAGAAAACAUUAUUUUCCCUAAUACUGGUAAAUGUGUCCCAAUGAUUGUUAAAUGUUACUAAUUGAAGAUCUGAUAUGGAAGUAUUUACUGGAGUAUCAUCUUUCUGCUGUUAUUAAAUACGUCUUUGUAUAUCUGAUUUUAUUAAAAUUCAAUUUUAACUAGCAUUUCAUAGUUGACCCUGCCUCUGACAGGGAGGUUGGGCUAGAUGGGCUGGGACCUUCAGAGAAUGUCCCCAGCCUGAAUUAUUCUGCGACUAAAUUGUUGCACAUGUAAUUGCAAAGAUCCAUGAAAUAGAAUGUGACAAUCCAGGUUUACCCCAAGAAAAAGACCCCACAGAAUUGCUGCAGUUAAAGAGAUUUAUCCCUUUCUCAGUGACUUUUGAAACACUCACCUAUUUAUGGGUAUUGGU
rnacentral:lncRNA from 1 species